CUCCGGUGAUCCUGCCGGACCCGACUGCUAUCAGAGUGGGACUAAGCCAUGCGAGUCAACAUAGCAAUAUGUGGCAUACGGCUCAGUAACACGUAGUCAACAUGCCCAGGGGACGUGGAUAACCUCGGGAAACUGAGGAUAAACCGCGAUAGGUCAUCACUUCUGGAAUGGGUAAUGACUUAAAUCUAUAUGGCCCCUGGAUUGGACUGCGGCCGAUCAGGCUGUUGGUGAGGUAAUGGCCCACCAAACCUGUAACCGGUACGGGCUCUGAGAGGAGGAGCCCGGAGAUGGGCACUGAGACAAGGGCCCAGGCCCUAUGGGGCGCAGCAGGCGCGAAACCUCUGCAAUAGGCGAAAGCUUGACAGGGUUACUCUGAGUGAUUUCCGUUAAGGAGAUCUUUUGGCACCUCUAAAAAUGGUGCAGAAUAAGGGGUGGGCAAGUCUGGUGUCAGCCGCCGCGGUAAUACCAGCACCCCGAGUGGUCGGGACGUUUAUUGGGCCUAAAGCAUCCGUAGCCGGUUCUACAAGUCUUCCGUUAAAUCCACCUGCUUAACAGAUGGGCUGCGGAAGAUACUAUAGAGCUAGGAGGCGGGAGAGGCAAGCGGUACUCGAUGGGUAGGGGUAAAAUCCGUUGAUCCAUUGAAGACCACCAGUGGCGAAGGCGGCUUGCCAGAACGCGCUCGACGGUGAGGGAUGAAAGCUGGGGGAGCAAACCGGAUUAGAUACCCGGGUAGUCCCAGCUGUAAACGAUGCAGACUCGGUGAUGAGUUGGCUUAUUGCUAACUCAGUGCCGCAGGGAAGCCGUUAAGUUUGCCGCCUGGGGAGUACGGUCGCAAGACUGAAACUUAAAGGAAUUGGCGGGGGAGCA
rnacentral:rRNA from 1 species